CCCCUCAAUCUGACUGAUUUUGGUCCUUUGUCUGUGAUUGGCUGGCCCAUUACUGGCAGGACUUUUAUGUUGAUAAAUGUAGUUUUUGGACGUGACGUGGGUCUCUUUCCGCCCCGCUGUUGUUUUGCCGGCAAAGGACGCCGGCUGGCGUGUGAGCUGCUGCUAGCCGUGAUCAUUACCCGGUAGAUUUGGUACCUUCAGCCAUUCUUGUGUGGAACUGCACUCUGCUGUGAACUGGCGUUCACUUCGCGCUGCCUAUACUGCACCGGUGUGUUGCCCCAUCAUCUGUGCCCUGUGGCAGGCCUGAUUCGUGGUGCUUACGCUGGCUUGGAGUGGCCACAGUGGUUGGCCCCUGGGUACCUGACUGCAGUCAGUGGAUGGUAAGCUGGCCUAUGCUACGUUGAUGUUGUUGCUCCGAUGGUAACGAUGACCUUAGUCACUAAAUCUACCCUCACUUUCCUCAGUGUGUGGUCCAAAUUGCGAUUGUUCCGAACCACGGAUCUAUGAUCAGGUUAGCGGUGCCUCUCUGACGCUGGGGAUUGCUAGCUACACUCCUCGGAGGUUGCUGUUUUGUUGCCGUCACACUCUGCGCCGGUUCCGACUGGCUCCACCUGCUCGUCCUGCUUUUGUUUGGUUUAAUUAUUUUUAUUUUCUGGUCCGUUUCUUGGGACGCCAGCCUCCUCGCUGCGCACUGCGCAGGUCUAGUUACCUGUGUGUGUUGUGAGU